UACGGAGGAUGCGAGCGUUAUCCGGAUUUAUUGGGUUUAAAGGGUGCGUAGGCGGCGCAGUUAGUCAGAAGUGAAAUAUCGGGGCUUAACCCCGGGGCUGCUUCUGAUACUGCUGUGCUCGAGUGCAGGAGAGGUAAGUGGAAUUCCUAGUGUAGCGGUGAAAUGCGUAGAUAUUAGGAGGAACACCAGUGGCGAAGGCGACUUACUGGACUGUAACUGACGCUGAGGCACGAAAGCGUGGGUAGCAAACAGG
rnacentral:rRNA from 1 species